rnacentral:rRNA from 1 species
AUACGUAGGGGGCGAGCGUUAUCCGGAUUCAUUGGGCGUAAAGCGCGCGUAGGCGGCCUGCUAGGUCGGGACUCAAAUCCGGGGGCUCAACCCCCGCCCGGUCCCGAUACCGACAGGCUUGAGUCUGGUAGGGGAAGGCGGAAUUCCAAGUGUAGAGGUGGAAUGCGCAGAUAUUUGGAAGAACACCGGUGGCGAAGGCGGCCUUCUGGGCCACGACUGACGCUGAGGCGCGAAAGCUAGGGGAGCGAACAGGAUUAGAUACCCUGGUAGUCCUAGCCGUAAACGAUGGACACUAGGUGUGGGGGGAUGUGCCCUCCGUGCCGCAGCCAACGCAUUAAGUGUCCCGCCUGGGGAGUACGGCCGCAAGGCUAAAACUCAAAUGAAUUGACGGGG